UGCUUUUCAUCUUAGCUACUCUAUUGCCCUCUCGCUCUACCUAUAAAAUCACCAUCUCUCAAUUUGUCAUAGAUAAUUGCUAGUGACUCAGUUCAUAGGAAAUCUACGAAUAAAAAAAAAAAGCUCAUUAAAUAUCAAGGGUUUGUGGUGAUAGAAAUAUGGCGAUCUAUGUUGAGGCAGCAGCUCAGGGACAAAGUCUGGACAAGAUCUCAGAAACUGAAACAUUUGGUAUUUAGCCUGCCCACAGGGUAACUCAUUUGUGCUGGAGUCUGCUUACAGGGAAUCAACAGAAACUCCUAAAAUAUGCCAAGUUAUGCAACACCCUCAAAAUAAUACAGUGCUUAUUGCUCAAUAAUAAUGUGUUAACUAUAAGUAAAUAGGAAAUCAGUCCUUGCUGUUCAGGGAAAGUAAUAUAGUAUACACCUUUCAUGAAAUUCAAGAAUGAGUAAGAUGAAUCAUAUAUUUAUGAAAGCUUCAAUGAUUAGAGAAAAUAUCCAUUCAUGUCCAACCACACCUCCCUCAUAGACUUGCAUACCCCAAAUCACAUUAAGAAAGUGUUUCCUAUUUUUCUCCCCUAUUCCUAUAAUGAAUGAUGUUGGAUCUUUAAUUAAGCUGAAUAUUAAAUAAUGAAUUACUUAUUAAAUUUUGACAUUGAAAAUUCUUUCCAUGAUACAGAAAAAAAAGUCUGGUUUCUUGUCAGUGCUUUGAGUAACAUUUUAAAUGUUUGCUUUGUAUUUGUAGUAACAGAUCAGGUAAUACAAAAUAUAUUAAUUCUCAGCUUUUUUAUUAUUUAUUUUAGGUUAAUUCAAUUUUUAAGCCAAGAGACUGGAACAACACAAAUAAAGCUUUUUAUUGUGGAUUAUAAGGCCAAAUGAGUUCUGUCUCCUAUUCUAUUGUGUCGAUAGAUACUGUUUUACUGAAUCAGUGAUUCUGAUCCCUGAACACUGUUUGUAAGAGCUACUGAUAUGGCUCCCUUUCUUAAGCCAGAAGGGCUUGGGAUGUGCUUCAUCUCAAUACCAUUAAAAACAUUUUCUCAUUUAUUGUAUGUCCUCCUUACAAACCUAGCUCCUGGCUGCCUGUGGUGGAACAGAUCAACUAGUGAGGUAUAUAUAUCUGACAUCCUUUCGUUUCAGAGUGUAUGGAAAAGGGACAGAGAAGAAGUGGAGGAAAGGGCACUUAAUCACCUGUUACUUAUGAAAAGAAGAUUGUUGGAAGCUGCUGCAUGCUUCUUCCAUCUCAUUGGUUCAUGGCCACACUUAACCAACUACAAGGUGCAGAAGCAUUGAGAGAGUGGGUAGGCUAAAUUUGAGAGUCUAUUAUCCAAUGAAUAUUUCUUUCCUAUUCUAUGAAAGGAAUAGAACAUGAGUAUUGGGAUAAAACUAGCAUAUCUGCUACACUGGUACUAAAGUUUCUCUAUAUAGUACAGAUCCACUGGGGUCUUAGUUAAUCCUUACAAUGACCCUGUUAAGUCUUACUUUUACUUGGAAAACAAAGAAAUUAAAAUGCAUAUACUAAAUGCAUAUACUAAAUUAGUCCAAGAUCAUUCAGCUAGAAUGGGGGGGAGAAAUCCACUAUUUGUCAGGAGAAACUUGAUCUGUGUUGUCUCUUAACAGCUAUGUGAUUUGGGCAAGUCAUAACUUUUCUGAUUAUAGCUCACUUAACUGCAAAAGAUAGUAAAAAUUCCUACCUAGAAGUUAUGUGCUGAACAUUAGAAGAAUGUCUUAUGUCAAAUAGUACUAAAAAAUUGGAGGUGAUAGCAGUCAUGGUCAUGGUCCUAAGGGUGGUAGUAGCAGCACAGAAAUAAGGAACAAUGCUAGAUUCAGCCCUUGGUCUAUUUUUUCCCUACAUUAUACUGCUUUUCAGAGCCCUUCAUUGACCUUACCAGCAAUUUGAAAAAUUUCUUUUUUAUAUGAUAGAGGCCAAGAAACGGGAGAUUAAAAA
rnacentral:lncRNA from 12 species